rnacentral:rRNA from 1 species
UUAUUGGAGAGUUUGAUCCUGGCUCAGGACGAACGCUGGCGGCGUGCCUAAUACAUGCAAGUCGAGCGGAGUUAUGAGGAAGCUUGCUUCCGAUUAACUUAGCGGCGGACGGGUGAGUAACACGUAGGCAACCUGCCCCUUGGACUGGGAUAACUACCGGAAACGGUAGCUAAUACCGGAUAAGACCUUCUGGUGCAUACCGGAAGGCGGAAAGGCGGAGCAAUCUGUCACCAGGGGAUGGGCCUGCGGCGCAUUAGCUAGUUGGUGGGGUAACGGCUCACCAAGGCGACGAUGCGUAGCCGACCUGAGAGGGUGAACGGCCACACUGGGACUGAGACACGGCCCAGA